GUCCUAGCUAAUGCAACAGUCAAGAAGAACAUUUUAACUGGAAUGAUACACAGAGGAUUAGCAUGGCCCCUGUACAAGGAUGUUACAUAAAUCUGUGAAGUGCUCCAUUAAAAA
ensembl:snRNA U6 U6 spliceosomal RNA